rnacentral:rRNA from 1 species
UACGGGAGGCAGCAGUGAGGAAUAUUGGUCAAUGGGCGAGAGCCUGAACCAGCCAAGUAGCGUGCAGGAUGACGGCCCUAUGGGUUGUAAACUGCUUUUAUACAGGGAUAAAGUCGGGGACGCGUUCCCCGUUUGCAGGUACUGUAUGAAUAAGGACCGGCUAAUUCCGUGCCAGCAGCCGCGGUAAU